rnacentral:rRNA from 1 species
GUCGAGGGGCAGCAUGAAAGUUUGCUUGCAAACUUUUGAUGGCGACCGGCGCACGGGUGAGUAACACGUAUCCAACCUGCCUCAUACUCGGGGAUAGCCUUUCGAAAGAAAGAUUAAUACCCGAUGUCAUAGUCCUACCGCAUGAUGGGAUUAUUAAAGAAUUUCGGUAUGGGAUGGGGAUGCGUUCCAUUAGUUAGUUGGCGGGGUAACGGCCCACCAAGACGACGAUGGAUAGGGGUUCUGAGAGGAAGGUCCCCCACAUUGGAACUGAGACACGGUCCAAACUCCUACGGGAGGCAGCAGCUAAGAAUAUUGGGCAAUGGAGGAAACUCUGACCCAGCCAUGCCGCGUGAAUGAAGAAGGCCUUCGGGUUGUAAAGUUCUUUUAGUCGUGAAGAUGAUGACAGUAGCGACAGAAAAAGCAUCGGCUAACUCCGUGCCAGCAGCCGCGGUAAUACGGAGGAUGCGAGCGUUAUCCGGAUUUAUUGGGUUUAAAGGGUGCGUAGGCGGAAUAUCAAGUCAGCGGUAAAAAUUCGGGGCUCAACCCCGUCGUGCCGUUGAAACUGAUGUUCUUGAGUGGGCGAGAAGUAUGCGGAAUGCGUGGUGUAGCGGUGAAAUGCAUAGAUAUCACGCAGAACUCCGAUUGCGAAGGCAGCAUACCGGCGCCCAACUGACGCUGAAGCACGAAAGCGUGGGUAUCGAACAGGAUUAGAUACCCUGGUAGUCCACGCAGUAAACGAUGAAUGCUAAUUGUCCGGAGGGAUUGACCUCUGGGUGAUACAGCGAAAGCGUCAAGCAUUC